rnacentral:lncRNA from 1 species
AAAAAAAAAGAAAAGAGAAGAGGAUCAUUUGGGUUCUGAAUGAGUUGGGAUCCAAUCUCUAUACUGGUAAUCUAUGAUAUGGGAAUAGUGCAGUAUUUCUCAAAUACUAGGCAUUAUCCAUUGUAACUUAUUUCUUUUAAGGAAGAUCCUGCAUUCUUAUUGAACCCCAGCGGAUCGGGGUGUACAACCUGGCCCUAUACAAUACCAGCACCUGAAUCUUCACAGGUAAAGGGGAAAUGCCUGUUGUCAUCAGCUUCCUCAAGAUUGGCAUUUGGUCGUCAAGAUUCACACUCAUCGGCUUUCUGUUUGAUUCUCACUUUCAAACACCAUCGAAGAUCGAAGUCUCUCCAUGAGGAAUCAAUGCGAGUAUUCUGAAGGCCAUGGCAUAUCUAGCAUCGAUUGGAUAGCAAUGCUUAACCCAUUUAACCCUUUUAACUUGAUUUAACCCAUUACAAGUUGCCAGAUUUAUCUAUUUAAUAGAAUGAUUGGAUUUGAAUUUUUGAUCUGUUUAAUAAAUAGACUUGAUUCAGAUUGACAGAUAUUGAUUUAUGCUUUAUCCAACCUGAUCAG